UAGUUUCUCUAAAGCCGGGGAUGGGCAGGCGAGUGCGAAGCGCCCAGCGACUGGGAAGGCGUCUUCGGGUUGCGCGAGCGCCGCGGAGCGUUCCUGAAGCUGCUAAAUAAAUAACUACAGACUGCCGCCCCGCCAGCCGCGGUGCGGUGGCGGCUCCGAGCCGCGGGGCGGGUGACAGCGGCGGCGGGGCCGGGCCGGCGCGCUCGGGAAGCUCCGCGCCCGGGGCCGCUUCCCCGAGACCGGCGGCCGCGCGGCUCCGGGAACUCGCCUCAUCUGGCUUCCGGGAGCGAGGAGGCUUUUCUUCUCAAAAAUCCACCAGAGUCCUUUGAUGCUCUUUGGUUUUACUGUGGAAAACUACAAUUUAAAAAAAAACAGCCGUGAAAAUAAAUGAGAUUAGGACUUGCUGGCUUCACUUCCUGGAGGCUUUUUGUUGUGUCUUGAAAGUAGGAAUCUUGGCGGGUCAUCCUUGUAAGUGCCUUUUCAUGCCUUCACGCGGGUGCUCGCGUCUAUACCGUGUUUAACGUCGGGAACCUGGUGGCGUGGCGGUGAUUUGCUGUGAUGAGGAUUUCUGCUGUGGUCGGCUGGCGUUGCCUCACUUGAUGGCAUGUAAUACGUGCACACGCGUGGCAAAAAUAAAGGCACAGAUCUAACCCUGCCAUAAAACAGAUAAGAAAAUACUCCCUAAAGCCACGCCAGUACUGGAAGAGUGGAGCAUUAUUUAGAUUGUGGAAAUGUUAAAAAACAACAAAACCUCGUUGGUUAGUCCAAAGCCAUUCUGCAUAAAGUGACAUGAUAAAAUCACUAAAUAAUAGCAGUGAUGAAACACAAUUACUUGUUUAAACUUACUGACUUAUAGUGUUUAUCGUCGUAUCAUAUGUGGGAAAUCACCCGACAUCCAGUCUUUGUGUGUGAGAGAGACACACAUGGAUAAUCGCUCUGAAGCAGAGCAGCUUUAUCGCCGUGGUAGGGGGAAUUUCCACCUCGGAAAAGCUCUAAACACAAUUACUGUAAAGCAGACGCAGUACCGCGCUCACGAAAACUGAAAGUUUUUUCCCAGAGUUUGCUCUAUUUUCUUUACAAUAAGCUGAAAGGCCAGGGAAUCAUAAAUUUAAAAUUGGCCAGCGCCCAUUGAAGAUCCCUCCAAAACCAGAAUAAGGCAUCUUUACAAUGUCAUUCAGGCGGAUGAGAUGGAGCAAGCUGAUCCGCAGGCUUGAUCGGACACCCUGCCUGGAACCCAACUGCCUACUCUUCAGUUCCCAGACACUUAGUGCGUGCCUACCGGAAAUGCACUGAAGAAUGCACUGAAGUAGGCACCCAGCAUCCAAAGUCAUCAGAUAUUUAUGGAGCACCUUCUAGAAGCCAGCCACUGUUCCAGAAGCUGAGGAUAUGGUAGUGGACAAAAUUAAAAUCUCUGCCCACACAGAGCUUUUAGUUGGGGAAGGUAGGCCAUAUUGACAAACUAUUUUGAAUUCUUGUCUGUUUGUUGUUAUCUGUACCAUGGCCUCUGCUGUGGUCUUGUUUGCUCUCUGAGUCCUGUGCUGUUUUCCUGCCAGAUGAACCUCUUUUUUAACACUGGUCUCUACAGCCCCUACUCGGGUGGUGAUUUUAUCUGUAAGAGUUCUUUUCUAAGCCCAAGGACUCUUAAUUUAUCCUACUGCAUUUUGAUUCAAAGCAUCUGUGUUUCUUUCAGGCUUGCACCAAGAUCAGCUACUCAUUUUCAAAACCAGAAGCUUCCAU